UACACAUGCAGUCGACGGCAGCGCGGGGCAACCUGGCGGCGAGUGGCGAACGGGUGAGUAAUAUAUCGGAACGUACCCUGGAGUGGGGGAUAACGUAGCGAAAGUUACGCUAAUACCGCAUACGAUCUAAGGAUGAAAGUGGGGGAUUCGCAAGAACCUCAUGCUCCUGGAGCGGCCGAUAUCUGAUUAGCUAGUUGGUAGGGUAAAAGCCUACCAAGGCAUCGAUCAGUAGCUGGUCUGAGAGGACGACCAGCCACACUGGAACUGAGACACGGUCCAGACUCCUACGGGAGGCAGCAGUGGGGAAUUUUGGACAAUGGGCGCAAGCCUGAUCCAGCAAUGCCGCGUGAGUGAAGAAGGCCUUCGGGUUGUAAAGCUCUUUUGUCAGGGAAGAAACGGNGUUUUCUAAUACAGAGNNCUAAUGACGGUACCUGAAGAAUAAGCACCGGCUAACUACGUGCCAGCAGCCGCGGUAAUACGUAGGGUGCAAGCGUUAAUCGGAAUUACUGGGCGUAAAGCGUGCGCAGGCGGUUUUGUAAGACUGUCGUGAAAUCCCCGGGCUCAACCUGGGAAUGGCGAUGGUGACUGCAAGGCUAGAGUUUGGCAGAGGGGGGUAGAAUUCCACGUGUAGCAGUGAAAUGCGUAGAUAUGUGGAGGAACACCGAUGGCGAAGGCAGCCCCCUGGGUCAAAACUGACGCUCAUGCACGAAAGCGUGGGGAGCAAACAGGAUUAGAUACC
rnacentral:rRNA from 2 species